GCACCCGCACAAGCGGUGGAGCAUGCUGUUUAAUUCGAAGAUACGCGAAGAACCUUACCUAGACUUGACAUCCCUGGCAAAGCUAUAGAAAUAUAGUGGAGGUUACCCAGGUGACAGGUGGUGCAUGGUUGUCGUCAGCUCGUGUCGUGAGAUGUUCGGUUAAGUCCGAUAACGAGCGCAACCCUUAUUUCUAGUUGCUAACAUUUAGUUGAGUUCUCUAGUAAUACUGCCGGUGAUAAACCGGAGGAAGGUGGGGAUGACGUCAAAUCAUCAUGCCCCUUACGUCUAGGGCUACAGGCGUGCUACAAUGGCCGAUACAAAAAGACGCAAAACCGUGAGGUUGAGCAAAUCUCUAAAAUCGGUCCCAGUUCGGAUUGGAGUCUGCAACUCGACUCCAUGAAGUUGGAAUCGCUAGUAAUCCUGAAUCAGAAUGUCAGGGUGAAUACGUUCCCGGGUGUU
rnacentral:rRNA from 1 species